AGGUAAUCUUCUCUCCUGAUGUUCAUGAUCACUUCGAUUGCAUAAUAUUUGUCUAACAACGAUGAUAUAUUUGUCAACUUCCAAAUUUUGCAUUUAAUCUAAUAACCUAUUAAUCGAAGGGAAGCCUUUGUUACCAAAGGGCAAGAAACAAUAGUAAGAACCAUAGGAGAAGUCGUGUGGAUUGGGUCGAUUUCUUCAUCAGAAGUUUCUAUAGGUCCGUGAAAACCAAUUUGCUGCAGCAUGUUAAUGUCUUUAAGGAUGCGAGACGUCCCAAUGAAGACACUAAAGUUUUCUUUUUUCUUUUAUUUCUUUCUUCUUUUGUAUCUUUAAGUUGAUCAAUAUCUUCAUUUUUCUAUAUACAGACAGUUUGCUUCCAGUCCUUGCUAAGAACUAUUCUAAGGUUGUUGUUAUAUAAAUUUUUCAAAAUCUCUUACAUACAUAAAAUAAAUAAAGAGGCCACAAUGCUUUACCGGAAAGACGAUGGACAGGAUUUUGGCUAAAUAUUUUAACUGAAGCUGAUAUCAGAAAUUGGUACUUUCAAGUCUUACAAGGCAAUUCUUACAUGCAUCAACGUGGUUACCUCCAACGCAAUCUUAAGCCAAGGAGGUUAAUUCGAGUCCACAUUAAUAGAGUAUGUUGUUGGCAGGGGAGGUUAAUUCGAGCCCACAUUUAUAGAGUAUGUUGUUAUAGAUGGUACAAAUUUGAUUCCCUUUUUGUGCUGCAAGCAGUCUUUCAGAUUACUAAUAUUACUGUAUAUAUGUCCUUCAGUGACCCAUAUGUCGAUUAGUUACCAUACCAUUGAUGCCUAACUGACC